AUUGAACGCUGGCGGCAUGCUUUACACAUGCAAGUCGAACGGCAGCGCGGGCUUCGGCCUGGCGGCGAGUGGCGAACGGGUGAGUAAUACAUCGGAACGUGCCCAGUAGUGGGGGAUAGCUCGGCGAAAGCCGGAUUAAUACCGCAUACGACCUGAGGGUGAAAGCGGGGGAUCUUCGGACCUCGCGCUAUUGGAGCGGCCGAUGGCAGAUUAGCUAGUUGGUGGGGUAAAGGCCUACCAAGGCGACGAUCUGUAGCUGGUCUGAGAGGACGACCAGCCACACUGGGACUGAGACACGGCCCAGACUCCUACGGGAGGCAGCAGUGGGGAAUUUUGGACACUGGGCGCAAGCCUGAUCCAGCAAUGCCGCGUGUGUGAUGAAGGCCUUCGGGUUGUAAAGCACUUUUGGCGGGAACGAAAAGGACUGUGCCAAUACCACGGUUCGAUGACGGUACCCGCAGAAUAAGCACCGGCUCACUACGUG
rnacentral:rRNA from 1 species